rnacentral:rRNA from 1 species
CCUACGGGAGGCAGCAGUGGGGAAUAUUGGACAAUGGGCGCAAGCCUGACCCAGCAACGCCGCGUGAAUGAAGAAGGCUUUCGGGUUGUAAACUUCUUUUGACAGGGAAGAGUAGAAGACGGUACCUGUCGAAUAACCUACGGCUAACUCCGUGCCAGCAGCCGCGGUAAUACGUAGGUGGCAAGCGUUGUCCGUAUUUACUGGGUGUAAAGGGCGUGUAGGCGGGUUGGCAAGUCAGAUGUGAAAUCCUGGGGCUUAACCGCAGAACUGCAUUUGAAACUGGUGAGCUUGAGUACUGGAGAGGCAGACGGAAUGCCUGGUGGAGCGGUGAAAUGCGUAGAGAGUAGGAGGAACACCAGUGGCGAAGGCGGUCUGCUGGACAGAAACUGACGGUGAGGCGCGAAAGCGUGGGGAGCAAACAGGAUUAGAUACCCGGGUAGUC